rnacentral:rRNA from 1 species
CCUACGGGAGGCAGCAGUGAGGAAUAUUGGUCAAUGGACGGAAGUCUGAACCAGCCAUGCCGCGUGCAGGAAGACGGCUCUAUGAGUUGUAAACUGCUUUUGUACAAGGGUAAACCUGAAUACGUGUAUUCAGCUGAAAGUACUGUACGAAUAAGCAUCGGCUAACUCCGUGCCAGCAGCCGCGGUAAUACGGAGGAUGCGAGCGUUAUCCGGAUUUAUUGGGUUUAAAGGGUGCGUAGGCGGUUUUUUAAGUUAGUGGUUAAACGUCGGGGCUUCACCUUGAUUUGCCAUUAAUACUGUAAGACUCGAGUUCAGACGAGGUAGGCGGAAUAAGUUAAGUAGCGGUGAAAUGCUUAGAUAUAACUUAGAACUCCGAUAGCGAAGGCAGCUUACCAGACUGCGACUGACGCUGAAGCACGAGAGCGUGGGUAGCGAACAGGAUUAGAUACCCCAGUAGUC